UACGGAGGGAGCUAGCGUUGUUCGGAAUUACUGGGCGUAAAGCGCGCGUAGGCGGCUUUGUAAGUUAGAGGUGAAAGCCCGGGGCUCAACCCCGGAACAGCCUUUAAGACUGCAUCGCUAGAAUCCGGGAGAGGUGAGUGGAAUUCCGAGUGUAGAGGUGAAAUUCGUAGAUAUUCGGAAGAACACCAGUGGCGAAGGCGACUCGCUGGACAAGUAUUGACGCUGAGGUGCGAAAGCGUGGGGAGCAAACAGG
rnacentral:rRNA from 1 species